rnacentral:rRNA from 1 species
GAUGAACGCCGGCGGUGUGCCUAAUACAUGCAAGUCGUACGCACUGGCCCAACUGAUUGAUGGUGCUUGCACCUGAUUGACGAUGGAUCACCAGUGAGUGGCGGACGGGUGAGUAACACGUAGGUAACCUGCCCCGGAGCGGGGGAUAACAUUUGGAAACAGAUGCUAAUACCGCAUAAUAACAAAAGCCACAUGGCUUUUGUUUAAAAGAUGGCUUUGGCUAUCACUCUGGGAUGGACCUGCGGUGCAUUAGCUAGUUGGUAAGGUAACGGCUUACCAAGGCGAUGAUGCAUAGCCGAGUUGAGAGACUGAUCGGCCACAAUGGAACUGAGACACGGUCCAUACUCCUACGGGAGGCAGCAGUAGGGAACCUUCCACAAUGGGCGCAAGCCUGAUGGAGCAACACCGCGUGAGUGAAGAAGGGUUUCGGCUCGUAAAGCUCUGUUGUUGGAGAAGAACGUGCGUGAGAGUAACUGUUCACGCAGUGACGGUAUCCAACCAGAAAGUCACGGCUAACUACGUGCCAGCAGCCGCGGUAAUACGUAGGUGGCAAGCGUUAUCCGGAUUUAUUGGGCGUAAAGCGAGCGCAGGCGGUUGCUUAGGUCUGAUGUGAAAGCCUUCGGCUUAACCGAAGAAGUGCAUCGGAAACCGGGCAACUUGAGUGCAGAAGAGGACAGUGGAACUCCAUGUGUAGCGGUGGAAUGCGUAGAUAUAUGGAAGAACACCAGUGGCGAAGGCGGCUGUCUGGUCUGCAACUGACGCUGAGGCUCGAAAGCAUGGGUAGCGAACAGGAUUAGAUACCCUGGUAGUCCAUGCCGUAAACGAUGAGUGCUAGGUGUUGGAGGGUUUCCGCCCUUCAGUGCCGGAGCUAACGCAUUAAGCACUCCGCCUGGGGAGUACGACCGCAAGGUUGAAACUCAAAGGAAUUGACGGGGGCCCGCACAAGCGGUGGAGCAUGUGGUUUAAUUCGAAGCUACGCGAAGAACCUUACCAGGUCUUGACAUCUUGCGCUAACCUUAGAGAUAAGGCGUUCCCUUCGGGGACGCAAUGACAGGUGGUGCAUGGUCGUCGUCAGCUCGUGUCGUGAGAUGUUGGGUUAAGUCCCGCAACGAGCGCAACCCUUGUUACUAGUUGCCAGCGUUAAGUUGGGCACUCUAGUGAGACUGCCGGUGACAAACCGGAGGAAGGUGGGGACGACGUCAGAUCAUCGUGCCCCUUAUGACCUGGGCUACACACGUGCUACAAUGGACGGUACAACGAGUCGCAAGCUCGCGAGAGUAAGCUAAUCUCUUAAAGCCGUUCUCAGUUCGGACUGUAGGCUGCAACUCGCCUACACGAAGUCGGAAUCGCUAGUAAUCGCGGAUCAGCAUGCCGCGGUGAAUACGUUCCCGGGCCUUGUACACACCGCCCGUCACACCAUGGAAGUUUGUAACGCCCAAAGUCGGUGGCCUAACCUUUAUGGAGGGAGCCGCCUAAGGCGGGACAGAUGACUGGGGUG